rnacentral:rRNA from 1 species
GUUGAACGCUGGCGGAAUGCUUUACACAUGCAAGUCGAGCGGCAGCGCGGGGCAACCUGGCGGCGAACGGCGAACGGGUGAGUAAUACAUCGGAACGUACCCAGUUGUGGGGGAUAGCCCGGCGAAAGCCGGAUUAAUACCGCAUACGACCUGAGGGUGAAAGGGGGGAGUCGCAAGACCUCUCGCAGUUGGAGCGGCCGAUGGCGGAUUAGCUAGUUGGUAGGGUAAAGGCCUACCAAGGCGACGAUCCGUAGCUGGUCUGAGAGGACGACCAGCCACACUGGAACUGAGACACGGUCCAGACUCCUACGGGAGGCAGCAGUGGGGAAUUUUGGACAAUGGGGGCGAACCCUGAUCCAGCCAUUCCGCGUGAGUGAAGAAGGCCUCGGUUGUAAGUACGU